UACAGAGGUCUCAAGCGUUGUUCGGAAUUACUGGGCGUAAAGCGCACGUAGGCGGCGAUUUAAGUCAGAGGUGAAAGCCCGGGGCUCAACCCCGGAAUAGCCUUUGAGACUGGAUUGCUAGAAUCUUGGAGAGGCGAGUGGAAUUCCGAGUGUAGAGGUGAAAUUCGUAGAUAUUCGGAAGAACACCAGUGGCGAAGGCGGCUCGCUGGACAAGUAUUGACGCUGAGGUGCGAAAGCGUGGGGAGCAAACAGG
rnacentral:rRNA from 1 species